CCGGCCAGAGGGGAACCUAGCGGCCGCGACACCGACGCCCUGCCCCGAGAGGCCUGGCUGCGCCGGCUACUGCGACAGAGAGGCCGGACUCCCCGGGCGGUGGGGAGGGCGGGGGUCUGUAAGAUGGCCUCCUGCGGUCUGGAAUGACUUGCUCGGUGGUGUUGCGGCUGGGCAGAAAUGAUUCGAGUAAAGGCAGCUUCCUCGUUGUGGGGCGGUUUUUUUGUUUUGUUUUGUUUUGUUUUGUUUUGUUUCUUGCCGAUAGGUUGGUUUCGCCUUCUCUUUCGGAGGGGAUUGCUCAAGUGUGAAGAACAUUACAGCAAACAGGCGGUUCAGGAAAGGCCUAAAACGGCCAUGUCAUUUUGAACAGAAUGACAUAACUUCUGUCAAAGGUUCAAAAUAGCCGGAAGAAAACCAAAGGAAUCACUGAAGUAGCAGUCAGUAAAAAAUUACUGUGCGGGCCCCAGAAAGUUUGCGGACCGGGAGCAUUCAAACCAAAACAUGGAAUGAGGCUCAGGGGUGCGUGGUUUAAGGCAGCUUAUCCAGUGACAAAGCUGUGACUGUUUAUUCUUCACAGUGAUUAGUUACAAUAUUAUAAUUUUCAGUGGUUACCAGUCAUAUCAACUUCGGGAAGCAGUUCAAGUUUUGCUUGUCAUUUCCGGAGACACGGGCAAGAAACGACCAGGUCCAGUUAGCCUUGCAGGAUAAGCCACGUUAAGCUUCGCCAGCAUGACCAAACUGCUUCUGUCUGCUCGGGGACACUUCAAGGGUGGUGUUUCUUGCGCUGGCCUUUUCAGCUGGCCACACAGGCCCUUCCAUUGCUCUAUUUCCUGCGGUAGAAGAGCGGUGGCUUUCAAACACGGUGGAUCAUUCCACAGCAAGAAAGAGAGUGUAUAUUACGGCCCAGCACCUACUUACACCGAUAAAACCAUAAGCUUCUCGGCCUCUCUCUCCAUCCGGUCUCCUGGUUUGUGAGAUGAGACUUUCAGCCCCGGGAAUCUCUGGGAUACCUUCCAUGGCCAGCCCUCUACGAUUCUAACAGCUAAGGACGUUUCAUCUGCCGGAAUAUUCUCUCUCCCACCCCUCCUGUAUUUUAGGGUCCCUGUGAAACUGUGCACACCGUAUCUAUCAAGCUCACUGCCUAGAAAGGGGGCCCAGUCAGCCCAGCGUGCGUGAGACGCUGGAAGGAGCCGGGGCGCAUCUCGGCGUGGGGCAGGGGCACUCCGAGGCCAGAAGGGGUGAUGCAGGUGCAAGAGGGGGGCCAGUUCGUCCCUCCUUCGGGGUUAAGGACGGGUCGGUGCACACGGGAGAUGAGCAGGACGGUGCCCCCCGGGCUUCCUGGGGGAGAGACGAGAGCCAGCGUGCUCCCCGUGCUGGCACGGGACGGACACCGGCUCCGCGCGGGUUUGCGGUUCGUGUCAAGCAGGCACAGGGAACUGCAUCCUUGCUCACGAUGGGCUGCACGGCAGGCUGCCCCCAAACAGGCCACUUUGGCCUAUUGACUGUUUUGAACUUAGUUACAGGAGAAGCAGCGGGCGCAAGGACUCUCUGACCUCCUUUGUGCCCUGGAAGCAGGACCUAAGUGUCCCCCGUGAAGGUCCGCGUCCUGUCCCGGGAGGAAGGGAGACAGCCUUCUUGCCAGCGAUGGGGACGUCAAGGCCGAGAAGGCUGUGUAAGCAAACCGGCUACUUCUUCGCUGCUUCGCUACCCCAAGCCCCAGCUUCUGUCAGUGCUUCACAGAUUCAUGGUUUCUUUGUCUAAAAGGUGUAAAAGCUGCUAGCUUGGCUCACUUCUUGGAGUCUCCUAUUUCUAUGGGCUCCCAUACGUACACAAUUAAAUUUGUUUUUCUCCUGUUAACCUGUCUUCUGCCGAUUUCAUUAUUAGACCAGCCAAAGAACCCAGAGGGAAAAGUUUUCUGCCUCUACAAUGUACUAUAUUUUUAUCUACAUGAACACCUUUAUACAUGAACGUAGGAAACAAUUCGGUAGCCAAUCCAGUAAAGUCUCAACCAACACUGGAAUUUCACUGGCUAGCGGGAUUAGGGGUGUUUCACAUUUUUCUUCCUUUUAGUUUACUUACACGUCCUAAUUUUUCUACCGUUACUGUGUAUUACUUUUGUAACAAGAAACAGUUAUUGCUUGUUUUCUCGAAAGCACUAUAGUAGACACGAUGCUCAUGGAAUAAACAAUUUUGGCUGCCUUUUAA